GACGAACCGUGCGAACGUUGUUCGGAAUCACUGGGCGUUAAAGGGGCGCGUAGGCGGGCGGUCAAGUCAGAGGUGAAAUCCCAACGGCUCAACCUGUGGAAGUGCCCUGAUACUGACUGUCUCGAGGGAGGUAGGGCGUGACGGAACUUCCGGUGGAGCGGUGAAAUGCGUAGAUAAUCGGAAGGAACACCGAUGGCGAAAGCAGCGCGCUGGACCUCUACUGGA
rnacentral:rRNA from 1 species